rnacentral:rRNA from 1 species
UCAAAGGAAUUGACGGGGACCCGCACAAGCAGUGGAGUAUGUGGUUUAAUUCGAAGCAACGCGAAGAACCUUACCAGGUCUUGACAUCCCUCUGAAUCCACUAGAGAUAGUGGCGGCCUUCGGGACAGAGGAGACAGGUGGUGCAUGGUUGUCGUCAGCUCGUGUCGUGAGAUGUUGGGUUAAGUCCCGCAACGAGCGCAACCCUUAACU